UACGAAGGGGGCUAGCGUUGCUCGGAAUUACUGGGCGUAAAGCGCACGUAGGCGGGUUCUUAAGUCGGUGGUGAAAUCCUGGAGCUCAACUCCAGAACUGCCUUCGAUACUGGGAAUCUUGAGUCCGGGAGAGGUGAGUGGAACUGCGAGUGUAGAGGUGAAAUUCGUAGAGAUCGGGAGGAACACCAGUGGCGAAGGCGGCUACCUGGACCAGCACUGACACUGAGGCACGAAAGCGUGGGGAGCAAACAGG
rnacentral:rRNA from 1 species